AACGAACGCUGGCAGCGUGGAUUAGGCAUGCAAGUCGAACGAGAUCCCUGUUGUAGCAAUAUGACGGGGUGACAGUGGCGGAAGGGUGAGUAACGCGUGGGUAAGCUACCUUAAAGUUGGGGACAACCAGAUGAAAAUCUGGCUAAUACCGAAUGUGGUCUCCCGGCACAUGCCGGGAAAACUAAAGGCGGGGCUCCUUCGGGACCUGUCGCUUUAAGAGGUGCCCGCGUGCCAUCAGCUAGUUGGUAGGGUAACGGCCUACCAAGGCUUACGGCUAGCCGGCCUGAGAGGGUGACCGGCCACACUGGGACUGAGACACUGCCCAGACUCCUACGGGAGGCUGCAGUCGAGGAUCAUUCGCAAUGCGCGAAAGCGUGACGAUGCGACGCUGCGUGGAGGAUGACGGCCUUCGGGUUGUAAACUCCUGUCAUGAGGGAAAAGCCGUCUUAUCCAUAACAUGGGUAAGGCCCGAUGGUACCUCAAGAGGAAGCCACGGCUAACUCUGUGCCAGCAGCCGCGGUAAUACAGAGGUGGCGAGCGUUGUUCGGAUUUACUGGGCGUAAAGGGUGCGUAGGUGGUUUCGUAAGUCGGAUGUGAAAUCCCAUGGCUCAACUGUGGAAUUGCAUUCGAAACUGUGAAACUAGAGUACAGGAUGGGAGAGCGGAAUUCUUGGUGUAGCGGUGAAAUGCGUUGAUAUCAAGAAGAACACCGGUGGCGAAGGCGGCUCUCUGGAAUGUUACUGACACUGAGGCACGAAAGCUGGGGGAGCAAACAGGAUUAGAUACCCUGGUAGUCCCAGCCGUAAACGGUGCACACUUGGUGUGGGGAGAUUUAACCCUCUCCGUGCCGGAGCUAACGCGUUAAGUGUGCCGCCUGGGGAGUACGGCCGCAAGGCUAAAACUCAAAGAAAUUGACGGGGGCCCGCACAAGCGGAGGAGCAUGUGGCUUAAUUCGAUGCAACGCGAAGAACCUUACCAGGGCUUGACAUAUACCUGCAAGCCCCCCGAAAGGGGGGAAGCCUUCGAGGGUGGUAUACAGGUGCUGCAUGGCUGUCGUCAGUUCGUGCCGUGAGGUGUUGGGUUAAGUCCCGUAACGAACGCAACCCUUGUGACUAGUUGCUACCGGCGGUGAUGAGCCGCCGGGCACUCUAGUCAGACUGCCCGUACAAGCGGGAGGAAGGUGGGGAUGACGUCAAGUCAGUAUGGCCCUUACGUCCUGGGCUGCACACGUGCUACAAUGGACGGUACAAUGGGAUGCAAUACCGUGAGGUGGAGCAAAUCCUCAAAACCGUCCUCAGUUCGGAUUGAAGUCUGCAACUCGACUUCAUGAAGUCGGAUUCGCUAGUAACGGCGCAUCAGCUACGGCGCCGUGAAUACGUUCCCGGGCCUUGUACACACCGCCCGUCACAUCAUGAAAGCCGUCUGCACCCGAAGUCGCUGAUCCAACCCGCAAGGGAGGUAGGUGCCGAAGGUGUGGGUGGUGAUUGGGAUG
rnacentral:rRNA from 1 species